rnacentral:misc_RNA from 1 species
GAUGAAGAACGUAGCGAAAUGCGAUAAGUAGUGUGAAUUGCAGAAUUCAGUGAAUCAUCGAAUCUUUGAACGCACAUUGCGCCCCUCGGUAUUCCGUGGGGCAUGCCUGUUCGAGCGUCAUCUACACCCUCAAGCUCUGCUUGGUGUUGGGCGUCUGUCCCGCCUCCGCGCGUGGACUCGCCCCAAAUUCAUUGGCAGCGGUCCUUGCCUCCUCUCGCGCAGCACAUUGCGCUUCUUGAUGGGCUCCGGUUCGCGUCCAACAAGCACAUUUACCGUCUUUGACCUCGGAUCAGGUAGGGAUACCCGCUGAACUUAAGCAUAUCAAUAAGCGGAGGA